AUAGCCAUAUGGAGAGGGAGAGGUAAAUAUGAUGGACAGACAUAUGGAGAGUGUUACAGUAAUUAUGGUAGAUGGCCAUAGGGAGAGUGUUACAGUAAUUAUGGUAGCCAUAGGGAGAGUGUUACAGUGAUUAUGGUAGAUGGCCAUAUGGAGAGUGUUACAGUGAUUAUGGUAGAUGGCCAUAGGGAGAGUGUUACAGUAAUUAUGGUAGAUGGCCAUAGGGAGAGUGUUACAGUGAUUAUGGUAGCCAUAGGGAGAGUGUUACAGUGAUUAUGGUAGAUGGCCAUAUGGAGAGUGUUACAGUGAUUAUGGUAGCCAUAGGGAGAGUGUUACAGUGAUUAUGGUAGAUGGCCAUAUGGAGAGUGUUACAGUGAUUAUGGUAGAUGGCCAUAGGGAGAGUGUUACAGUAAUUAUGGUAGCCAUAGGGAGAGUGUUACAGUGAUUAUGGUAGAUGGCCAUAGGGAGAGUGUUACAGUCAUUAUGGUAGCCAUAGGGAGAGUGUUACAGUGAUUAUGGUAGCCAUAGGGAGAGUGUUACAGUGAUUAUGGUAGCCAUAGGGAGAGUGUUACAGUCAUUAUGGUAGAUAGCCAUAGGGAGAGUGUUACAGUGAUUAUGGUAGAUAGCCAUAGGGAGAGUGUUACAGUGAUUAUGGUAGAUAGCCAUAUAGUAACAGCAGCUGAGGAGGAAUCCAAUAAGGGUGGCUGGCAUUCAGUUCAUCUUUUUAUUUUUUCCCUAAAGUUUGCUAUUUCCAAGUGAAUUGACAAUAAUUCCAGAUUAGUGACCGGCUCUGUUAAGGAGUGUGAGCCUCUGAGAGGUAGAUGACAUCCGGGCUUAUAAUAAGUAAAACAUGGGAAGGAUUUAUCAAAGUGUCAGGAUUUGGAGAUUGGAACAAAUAUAUCAAAGUGGAGCUACCCCAAGGCACGGCCUGCCGAGUGCUCUGCUUUCUAUGGUUUGUAGGACUCUCCAGGUGGGGACAGUUUGAUAAAUCUCCUUUCAGCCAAUUUAAAGGAGAUUUGCUGUAAUACCA